UACGGAGGGUGCAAGCGUUGCUCGGAAUUAUUGGGCGUAAAGGGUAGGUAGGUGGUCUCAUUUGUCUGGGGUGAAAGCCUUGAGCUUAACUCGAGAAGUGCCCCAGAAACGGUGAGACUGGAGUCCUGGAGAGGGUCGUGGAAUUCCCGGUGUAGCGGUGAAAUGCGUAGAGAUCGGGAGGAACACCAGAGGCGAAGGCGGCGACCUGGACAGGUACUGACACUAAACUACGAAAGCGUGGGGAGCAAACAGG
rnacentral:rRNA from 1 species